rnacentral:rRNA from 1 species
CAACUUCUUAACGGCGAUAGUACUGCGGAGACAUUAAUGAAUUUUGAACUUGGGUUUAUGAUGCUGGCCUUCCGAGGCAAUUGUGCUCAACCCUUGCUCAUUUCAAUUCGUUCAACCCCUGUGCACCUUUCAGUGGCUUCAAUCUUUAAGGGACUUUUUUUUCUUGGACCUUGUAGUCGGAUAAAAACGACUUGAGGAAAGAGGGAAAUAGUCCUUGAUUGGCCAUGAUCUUUUUACAUACACUAUAAAAGUUUAGAAUGUUCAACUUGCGAUUAAACGCAUUUUAAUAUAACUUUCAACAACGGAUCUCUUGGCUCUCGCAUCGAUGAAGAACGCAGCGAAAUGCGAUAAGUAAUGUGAAUUGCAGAAUUCAGUGAAUCAUCGAAUCUUUGAACGCACCUUGCGCUCCUUGGUAUUCCGAGGAGCAUGCCUGUUUGAGUGUCAUGAAUCUCUCAAACCUUCAGUUUUGUUAACUCGGAACUUGAAGGCUUUGGACUUGGGGGCUUGCUGGCGAUUUUGUUAUUGUCGGCUCCUCUCUAAAUGCAUUAGCUGGAUCUUUCAACACAAGUAUCCUCGGUGUGAUAAUUAUCUACGCCGUGUUUUGUAUACUUUGUUGCGUGUGCUACCCCCUUAUGCUUAGCAUUGGGGUGUUUGUAGUCGCGGGCUUGAUUCAUUUCAGCCAAAGUCAUCAAGCUUAUAAUCGUCUCUGCAAAAUGAGACAAUUCAUUUUUUGACAUCUGACCUCAAAUCAGGUAGGACUACCCGCUGAACUUAAGCAUAUCAAUAAGCGGAGGAAAAGAAACUAACAAGGAUUCCCCUAGUAACUGCGAGUGAAGCGGGAAAAGCUCAAAUUUAAAAUCUGGUGGUCUUUGGCCAUCCGAGUUGUAAUCUAGAGAAGCGUUUUCCGUGCUGGACCGUGUACAAGUCUCUUGGAACAGAGCAUCAUAGAGGGUGAGAAUCCCGUCUCUGACACGGACUACCAGUGCUUUGUGAUACGCUCUCAAAGAGUCGCGUUGUUUGGGAAUGCAGCGCAAAAUGGGUGGUAUAUUCCAUCUAAAGCUAAAUAUUGGCGAGAGACCGAUAGCGAACAAGUACCGUGAGGGAAAGAUGAAAAGCACUUUGGAAAGAGAGUUAAACAGUACGUGAAAUUGUUGAAAGGG